rnacentral:rRNA from 1 species
AUUGAACGCUGGCGGCAUGCCUUACACAUGCAAGUCGAACGGUAACAGGUCUUCGGAUGCUGACGAGUGGCGAACGGGUGAGUAAUACAUCGGAACGUGCCCGAUCGUGGGGGAUAACGAAGCGAAAGCUUUGCUAAUACCGCAUAAGAUCUACGGAUGAAAGCAGGGGACCGCAAGGCCUUGCGCGAACGGAGCGGCCGAUGGCAGGUAUUAGGUAGUUGGUGGGAUAAAAGCUUACCAAGCCGACGAUCUGUAGCUGGUCUGAGAGGACGACCAGCCACACUGGGACUGAGAAAGGGCCAAGACUCUGACGGAAGGCGGCAGUGGGGAAUUUUGGACAAGGGGCGAAAGCCUGAUCCAGCCAUGCCGCGUGCAGGAUGAAGGCCUUCGGGUUGUAAACUGCUUUUGUACGGAACGAAAAGACUCUUUCUAAUAAAGAGGGUCCAUGACGGUACCGUAAGAAUAAGCACCGGCUAACUACGUGCCAGCCGCCGCCGUAA